UUACCCCAAAAUGUAUUGACUUAAAGUAACAAAACUUUAUUAUUUCAUAGUUUCUGUGGGUCAGGAACCAAGGAAAAUAUUUGUUGGAUGCCUCUGCCUUAGUGUCUCUUCAAGGCCGCAGUCAAGGUGUUGGCUGGUGCUGCAGUUUCAUCUGAAGACUCAACUGGGAAAAGAUCUGUUGUCAAGCUCAUUUUAUGGUUAGUUGUAAAUUUGUGAAAUAGCACAAAGCCAAGUUGAAGACAAUAUCUUCCCUAAUAAUGGUAGUGCAAUGAGAGCCAGUCAGAAAAGCUCUCCACCUUGGCAGCAAUGAGACUAAGACUUUUAUGCCUGAAUUGCUAUCUUUCUUUUCCAGGUGAGUUGUGGGCUGUGAGGCUAGAAGAGUGCAGGACCACGUUAAGCAAAGAUAAAACAUUUGGUGAGUAUGUUCCCUCCUAUGCCUACCCAGAUCAAUUCCUAUGUGAAGGGGUUCAGAGAUAGAAUGAUAAUGGUAUGUUUUUUGGUAUUUUCUGAUUACAUCUAGCAAAGUAUAGAACCAAGAGGUGAGCUCAGGCUGGAAUUGGCUUGUUUGCAAUUAAAACUUAAAGAAGAGGUAAUCCAAAAAUGUGGAGGUUUUUGGGUUGGAAAAGUCAACUGCUUCUAGUCUCUAAGCACAGAAAGAUAAGACUCAAGGAAUGUUUUCUGCAUGAAUGAUCCAUUAACCCUUAGUUAUGACACAAAUUUCAAGUGUGAGUUCUAUCCAAGCCUACUUUCCUCAGUGUAUUGCCAUUAUGUUGAAAGAAGAGAGGAAUAAUGAGUGGGUAGGGUACAAAAUAACAUAUCAGGCUUGAAAAUUAUGACUGUUAAUGACUUAUGACUUUAAAAAUAUUUCAGUGUUUUAAAGCAAAUGAAAUUCACUAGAAGUAAAUAGAUCAGACCUACUAAUUUUUUAAUAUGAUGCACAGCUGAAGAAAUCCCAAGUCAGAAUUUAAAAGCUUUUAACUGGGCUGGGCCUGGUGGCUCACAUCGGUAAUCCCAGCCCUUUG